rnacentral:rRNA from 2 species
GCUCAGGGUUAGUCGGGACCUAAGCCGAGGCCGAAAGGCGUAGGCGAUGGACAACAGGUUGAUAUUCCUGUACCACCUCGUAUUCGUUUGAACGAUGGGGGGACGCAGAAAGGUAGGGUGAGCGCGCCGCUGGCUGUGCGCGUCGAAGCAUGCGAGGCUGGAACAUAGGCAAAUCCGUGUUCCAUAAGGCUGAGCUGUGACCGUGAAGGACCUUCGGGUCCGAAAUCCCUGAUCCUCCGCUGCCGAGAAAAGCCUCUAGUGAGAAUACAGGUGCCCGUACCGCAAACCGACACAGGUAGGCGAGAAGAGAAUUCUAAGACGCUCGGGAGAACUCUCGUUAAGGAACUCGGCAAAAUGACCCCGUAACUUCGGGAGAAGGGGUGCUCUAGUAGGGUUAACCGCCCGAGAGAGCCGCAGUGAAAGGAUCCAAGCGACUGUUUAGCAAAAACACAGGUCUCUGCGAAGCCGUAAGGCGAAGUAUAGGGGCUGACACCUGCCCGGUGCUGGAAGGUUAAGAGGAAGGGUCAUCCCUUACGGGAGAAGCUCUGAAUUGAAGCCCCAGUAAACGGCGGCCGUAACUAUAACGGUCCUAAGGUAGCGAAAUUCCUUGUCGGGUAAGUUC